CUGCUCCUUAGCAGACUCCUGAGGGACCUUAGCACCCCAGAGGGAGGAGACGCCACCCCGACUCCCAGGUACCCACUGCAGGCAGGCACACCGGUCAGGGCAGCUUUCAGGAGGUAUCUAGCUCUUGCCAGACAGCUUGGCCCUUUGGGAGUCCGGAAAUCUGUUCCAUUGCUCACCACACCAUCCUUCUUCAUGGAGCAGACCUGGAGACACACUUGAACCCACUGGGGCACACACGCACAAGCACAGGCAUGCACACAUAGAGGCCUCAUCACAGGAGGCUGAAAAUGGAGCAAAAUGAACAAGAGAACAUUAUGUUUCAAAGCACCCUCUUCCACGGUACUGGAUGGGGUCCAUGCAGGCUCCCCGUGCACCCACCCCUACGGCUGGGCAACCCAAGUACUGGGGGUGGUGUUUUAUUCUCCCUUUUGUCCAGCCCCAACUGACUCCUGCACAAAAAUAAAAUACUAAAUAAAACCCAUCCUGGUUUUCAUGGAAGACAGUAGAAGCUACCUUUUCCCCUCCUCUCCAGGGUCGAUGUCAAGCACACAGCACUUUGGUCUGGCUCUGUACUCACAGAGCCGCCUUCCGCUUCCUCGGGCUCUCAACACUGACCUGACUCUCCUGCAUGGGGGGCCUGCUAGAAUAUUCACCCCAGGGCCAUCACACAGCCAGGGCUGCACCGCUGUGGGACUCUCUCCUUGGGGAUGGCUCGUGCUCCCCACAGGAGGGCCCAGGGGUCUGGAGAGGCCAGUUGUCUGGCAGGACCUGCAAUCAGAUGUGGGCCAAACAGCACUGGUCUGCUGUUGGUGCUCACUUCCUGUUUGUCUCUUUUUUUUUUUUUUUUUUUCAGCCAUGAUUGUCACCUCUAUUUCCUUUAGAAGAGAGGGAUACCUGCCCGGAAGGCAGGGCAGAGGGGAGGAGCGAGGCGACGUCUGGAAGGCAUUGCCUCAGAACUCAUCCACAGCACAGCAAUAAGAGGAAAUGAAUUCCAGGCAUGAAGUCCCCGCUGCUCCAUGUUUUGGUUUGUUCGUACGUGGGGCAGGGAGCUGGGGAAAUCUCUUUCUUUCCUUCCUUCCCAAACCCCCAGCUUCUUUACAAAUUCCCCAGUUUCCAUGAUUUUAAUUUUAUGGUUCACAUUUUCUCCCAGCAGAAUCCCAGGAUGACAAGGUAGAAAGUCUGCCUUGAUUAACUGUCCCUCUGGCGCUGAGGCAAGGCCCGGCGUGAUAAAUAGCAGGAAUAAAACUGAGAGAGGCGUGCAGCAGGCAAUCGGCAGGCCCAGCCGUAAAUCCCGGCUCUGAUGGGGCCCAAGAUGAGCUGGUUAUUUCAUGGAGGGAGAGAGGGCUGGGGGCAGAGGUGGCUCACAGAGGAGCCCCCCUUCCCUUGGUUCCCUCCACCCCUAUGCGGUGGAUAUUGUUUAAGUAAGAUAGAGUGGAAUCGUUCUAUUGUGUCAUUGAUUUUUAAUAAAAACAGGUAACAUGCUGCAAAUCUCACAGUUACUUCAUUUCUCCUCUCCUCUGCCCAGAUGUCUGGUAACUUCCCCCAAGGGCUCCAUCCAGUGGGCGGUGGCUGUGACUGGGGUGUCUGGCAGGGCCAGGUCCAGUUUCUGAGAGCUUUCCAGGAAGUCUGGGCUCUCUUCCUUCUGCCCACACACGCACACACACACACCCAGAAACAUGCAGUGCAAAUGAGCACACACACGCACAAUGCACCCUCAGCUCAC
rnacentral:lncRNA from 1 species